GCCUUUUCCUGUGGGUUGAUUCGAGGAGCUCUAUCUAAUCUGGGCUUGGAGAGCGUCGUCACUGCAGAGGUUUCUUUAAUGCCAUCGUGCAAAUUCCAAGUUGUCAUUCAGAAACUCUAGGAUGGACGAAACAAGCUCUGAACAGCAGUGUUUCUUCAAUUAAAACUUUGUGAAUGUGAA